GACGAACGCGGCGGCGUGCCUAAUACAUGCAAGUAGAACGCUGAAGAGAGGAGCUUGCUCUUCUUGGAUGAGUUGCGAACGGGUGAGUAACGCGUAGGUAACCUGCCUGGUAGCGGGGGAUAACUAUUGGAAACGAUAGCUAAUACCGCAUAAUAGUAGAUGUUGCAUGACAUUUGCUUAAAAGGUGCAAUUGCAUCACUACCAGAUGGACCUGCGUUGUAUUAGCUAGUUGGUGAGGUAACGGCUCACCAAGGCAACGAUACAUAGCCGACCUGAGAGGGUGAUCGGCCACACUGGGACUGAGACACGGCCCAGACUCCUACGGGAGGCAGCAGUAGGGAAUCUUCGGCAAUGGACGGAAGUCUGACCGAGCAACGCCGCGUGAGUGAAGAAGGUUUUCGGAUCGUAAAGCUCUGUUGUAAGAGAAGAACGAGUGUGAGAGUGGAAAGUUCACAGCUGUGA
rnacentral:rRNA from 1 species